CUUAGAAAUUCUAGUAUAAAACUUACUGACGAUCUUUGUAUUGUCACAGAACGCAUCUGACUCAAACAGAAAACACAACCAGUUACCAAAAUGAGAGUAUCCUUCAUAUUUGUAUUUUUCUUCAUGGUAGUCGCUGCAGUUUUCGGCAGUGCUGUUUCUGAAGUAGAAGAUCAUCCAGUACAUCGUGUUGUAAGGGCUGAUAAACCUCCUUACUUGCCUAGACCAACACGACCAAGGCCAAUCCAUUAAGAUGCUGCUACUCCAGACACUAAUCUACAAUGGAUAACUAACUACCACGUCACAUAUUGUUAAUAAUUAUUUGCUAUAUGUUCGAAUAAAACCUUAUUUACUAAA